UACGUAGGGUGCGAGCGUUAAUCGGAAUUACUGGGCGUAAAGGGCGCGUAGGCGGACAGCUUAGUCAGAGGUGAAAGCCCAGGGCUCAACCUUGGAACUGCCUUUGAUACUGGCUGUCUUGAGUUCGGGAGAGGUGAGUGGAAUGCCGAGUGUAGAGGUGAAAUUCGUAGAUAUUCGGCGGAACACCAGUGGCGAAGGCGACUCACUGGCCCGAUACUGACGCUGAGGCGCGAAAGCGUGGGGAGCAAACAGG
rnacentral:rRNA from 1 species